rnacentral:rRNA from 1 species
CUCAGGAUGAACGCUAGCUACAGGCUUAACACAUGCAAGUCGAGGGGAAACGAUAGAGAAAGCUUGCUUUUUCUAGGCGUCGACCGGCGCACGGGUGAGUAACGCGUAUCCAACCUGCCCACCACUUGGGAAUAACCUUGCGAAAGUAAGACUAAUACCCAAUGAUAUCUCUAGAAGACAUCUGAAGGAGAUUAAAGAUUUAUCGGUGAUGGAUGGGGAUGCGUCUGAUUAGCUUGUUGGCGGGGUAACGGCCCACCAAGGCGACGAUCAGUAGGGGUUCUGAGAGGAAGGUCCCCCACAUUGGAACUGAGACACGGUCCAAACUCCUACGGGAGGCAGCAGUGAGGAAUAUUGGUCAAUGGGCGAGAGCCUGAACAGCCAAGUAGCGUGCAGGAUGACGGCCCUAUGGGUUGUAAACUGCUUUUAUAAGGGAAUAAAGUGAGAGUCGUGACUCUUUUUGCGUGUACCUUAUGAAUAAGGACCGGCUAAUUCCGUGCCAGCAGCCGCGGUAAUACGGAAGGUCCGGGCGUUAUCCGGAUUUAUUGGGUUUAAAGGGAGCGUAGGCCGGAGAUUAAGCGUGUUGUGAAAUGUAGAUGCUCAACAUCUGCACUGCAGCGCGAACUGGUUUCCUUGAGUACGCACAAAGUGGGCGGAAUUCGUGGUGUAGCGGUGAAAUGCUUAGAUAUCACGAAGAACUCCGAUUGCGAAGGCAGCUCACUGGAGCGCAACUGACGCUGAAGCUCGAAAGUGCGGGUAUCGAACAGGAUUAGAUACCCUGGUAGUCCGCACGGUAAACGAUGGAUGCCCGCUGUUGGUCUGAAUAGGUCAGCGGCCAAGCGAAAGCAUUAAGCAUCCCACCUGGGGAGUACGCCGGCAACGGUGCAACUCAAAGGA